GAGUGAACGCUGGCGGUAGGCCUACCACAUGCAAGUCGAACGGCAGCACAGUAAGAGCUUGCUCUUACGGGUGGCGAGUGGCGGACGGGUGAGGAAUACAUCGGAAUCUACUUUUUCGUGGGGGAUAACGUAGGGAAACUUACGCUAAUACCGCAUACGACCUACGGGUGAAAGCAGGGGAUCUUCGGACCUUGCGCGAUUGAAUGAGCCGAUGUCGGAUUAGCUAGUUGGCGGGGUAAUGGCCCACCAAGGCGACGAUCCGUAGCUGGUCUGAGAGGAUGAUCAGCCACACUGGAACUGAGACACGGUCCAGACUCCUACGGGAGGCAGCAGUGGGGAAUAUUGGACAAUGGGCGCAAGCCUGAUCCAGCCAUACCGCGUGGGUGAAGAAGGCCUUCGGGUUGUAAAGCCCUUUUGUUGGGAAAGAAAAGCAGCAGGUUAAUACCCCGCUGUUCUGACGGUACCCAAAGAAUAAGCACCGGCUAACUUCGUG
rnacentral:rRNA from 1 species